CUUUUGUGUUCAUUUUCCAAAGUAAUGUUGUCUAUUGUUUAAAGCUGGUAGGCUCUCCCGAUGACGCCAGCCUCGGUUUCCUUAGAAGUGACAAUGCCCGAAGAUAUGUCAGGCAGCUCCCGCAAUAUGUGAAGCAACAAUUCCCAUCCAGAUUCCCCAACACUUCAGCUGGAGCUCUUGAUUUACUAGAAAAAAUGCUCGUUUUCGACCCUAGCAAGCGUAUUACUGCUAAUGAGGCUCUCUGCCAUCCGUAUUUGGCGCCUCUCCACGACAUCAAUGAGGAGCCAGCCUGCCCGCGCCCUUUCGUCUUUGAAUUUGAGUUGCCGGCGUUCACUGAGGAAAACAUCAAGGAGCUCAUCUGGAGGGAGUCUGUGAAAUUCAACCCUGACCCUGCUCACUGAGGAAUGUAAUCGUGCGAUGUGUGGAUUUCUAACAUCUGCAGAAACAUGUGUAUUUCACAACGUAAGUAGUUAUCAAUGAGGAGAUGAGUAAUAAUUGUAGUGGAUACAUACAUAUAUAUAUUAAGUAUUAUCUUUGCAGUUCAA